CCUACGGGUGGCAGCAGUGAGGAAUAUUGGUCAAUGGCCGGAAGGCUGAACCAGCCAUGCCGCGUGAAGGUCAGUGCCCUAUGGGCGUUAAACUUCUUUUGUGCGGGAGCAAUAAUGGUCACGUGUGGCCAGACGAGAGUACCGUACGAAUAAGCAUCGGCUAACUUCGUGCCAGCAGCCGCGGUAAUACGGGGGAUGCAAGCGUUAUCCGGAUUUAUUGGGUUUAAAGGGUGCGUAGGCUGUGAGGUAAGUCAGCGGUGAAAUGCCCCCGCUCAACGGGGUGAAGUGCCAUUGAUACUGCCUGGCUGGAAUGCGGAUGCCGUGGGAGGAAUGUGUGGUGUAGCGGUGAAAUGCAUAGAUAUCACACAGAACACCGAUUGCGAAGGCAUCUCACGAAUCCGCGAUUGACGCUGAUGCACGAAAGCGUGGGUAUCAAACAGGAUUAGAUACCCUAGUAGUC
rnacentral:rRNA from 1 species